GGUUCAAUAUCCCACCCCUCUCACUCCCAUUAAUUUGUGUGUGAUGCGUGUGUGUGGGGAUAAAUCGCAGUCUCGCCCCGUCAAACGGACGAGUCUGCCGAAGUCAACAAGGUGCCUCAUAGUGUGGUGUUCGGUCUCUCGGGAUCGUUCAUCAUCUCAAGCCGCACUCGAAUAAACAUCUCGUAUGUCUUUCGACCUCGACGUCUUGCACUCUGACGAUGCGUGCUUAAAACCACGUGUCCCACUCCUUUUCWCUUGSAACACCCAMYWCUUCUCGACCUGAGCUCARGCAAGAUUACCCGMUGAACUUAAKCAUAUCAAUMRGMGGAGGA
rnacentral:misc_RNA from 1 species